rnacentral:misc_RNA from 1 species
CCCAACUAUCCCUAUUAAUCAUUACGUCAAUCUUAGAAACCAACAAAAUAGGUUCGAUCAUCUUAUUUUAUUAUUCCAUGCUAAUGUAUUCAAGCGUUAGCCUGCUUUAAACACUCUAAUUUUUUCAAAGUAACAGUCCUGUUUCCCUGCAACACCAAAUUAAUGACAUUACAGUUCUUCAAGAAGGAGGAAUCAGUAAAGCCAGUACAUACCAUAGGCACGACCAACCUACUGACCCCGAAAUUCAACUACGAGCUUUUUAACUGCAACAACUUUAAUAUACGCUAUUGGAGCUGGAAUUACCGCGGCUGCUGGCACCAGACUUGCCCUCCAA